UACAGAGGUCCCAAGCGUUGUUCGGAUUCACUGGGCGUAAAGGGUGCGUAGGUGGCGGGGUAAGUCGGAUGUGAAAGCUCGGAGCUCAACUCCGAAAUGGCAUUGGAAACUACCUUGCUCGAGGGUUGGAGGGGGACUGGAAUUCUCGGUGUAGCAGUGAAAUGCGUAGAUAUCGAGAGGAACACCAGUGGCGAAGGCGAGUCCCUGGACAACUCCUGACACUGAGGCACGAAAGCUAGGGGAGCAAACAGG
rnacentral:rRNA from 1 species